rnacentral:tRNA from 1 species
GGGCCUAUAGUUAAGUGGCAGAACACCGCUUUUGCAAAGCGGAGACGGCAGUUCGAUUCUGCCUAGGUCCA